ACGAACGCUGGCGGCGUGCCUAAUACAUGCAAGUCGAACGCUUCUUUUUCCACCGGAGCUUGCUCCACCGGAAAAAGAGGAGUGGCGAACGGGUGAGUAACACGUGGGUAACCUGCCCAUCAGAAGGGGAUAACACUUGGAAACAGGUGCUAAUACCGUAUAACAAUCGAAACCGCAUGGUUUUGAUUUGAAAGGCGCUUUCGGGUGUCGCUGAUGGAUGGACCCGCGGUGCAUUAGCUAGUUGGUGAGGUAACGGCUCACCAAGGCGACGAUGCAUAGCCGACCUGAGAGGGUGAUCGGCCACAUUGGGACUGAGACACGGCCCAAACUCCUACGGGAGGCAGCAGUAGGGAAUCUUCGGCAAUGGAAGAAAGUCUGACCGAGCAACGCCGCGUGAGUGAAGAAGGUUUUCGGAUCGUAAAACUCUGUUGUUAGAGAAGAACAAGGAUGAGAGUAACUGUUCAUCCCUUGACGGUAUCUAACCAGAAAGCCACGGCUAACUACGUGCCAGCAGCCGCGGUAAUACGUAGGUGGCAAGCGUUGUCCGGAUUUAUUGGGCGUAAAGCGAGCGCAGGCGGUUUCUUAAGUCUGAUGUGAAAGCCCCCGGCUCAACCGGGGAGGGUCAUUGGAAACUGGGAGACUUGAGUGCAGAAGAGGAGAGUGGAAUUCCAUGUGUAGCGGUGAAAUGCGUAGAUAUAUGGAGGAACACCAGUGGCGAAGGCGGCUCUCUGGUCUGUAACUGACGCUGAGGCUCGAAAGCGUGGGGAGCAAACAGGAUUAGAUACCCUGGUAGUCCACGCCGUAAACGAUGAGUGCUAAGUGUUGGAGGGUUUCCGCCCUUCAGUGCUGCAGCUAACGCAUUAAGCACUCCGCCUGGGGAGUACGACCGCAAGGUUGAAACUCAAAGGAAUUGACGGGGGCCCGCACAAGCGGUGGAGCAUGUGGUUUAAUUCGAAGCAACGCGAAAAACCUUACCAAGUCUUGACAUCCUGAUGACGGUUCCUUAACCGGAACUUCUCUUCGGAGCAUCAGAGACAGGUGGUGCAUGGUUGUCGUCAGCUCGUGUCGUGAGAUGUUGGGUUAAGUCCCGCAACGAGCGCAACCCUUAUUGUUAGUUGCCAUCAUUUAGUUGGGCACUCUAGCAAGACUGCCGGUGACAAACCGGAGGAAGGUGGGGAUGACGUCAAAUCAUCAUGCCCCUUAUGACCUGGGCUACACACGUGCUACAAUGGGAAGUACAACGAGUCGCAAAGUCGCGAGGCUAAGCUAAUCUCUUAAAGCUUCUCUCAGUUCGGAUUGUAGGCUGCAACUCGCCUACAUGAAGCCGGAAUCGCUAGUAAUCGCGGAUCAGCACGCCGCGGUGAAUACGUUCCCGGGCCUUGUACACACCGCCCGUCACACCACGAGAGUUUGUAACACCCGAAGUCGGUGAGGUAACCUUUUGGAGCCAGCCGCCUAAGGUGGGAUAGAUGAUUGGGGUG
rnacentral:rRNA from 1 species